AGCAGCCGCGGUAAUUCCAGCUCCAAUAGCGUAUAUUAAAGUUGUUGCAGUUAAAAAGCUCGCAGUUGAAUUUCGGGGUUCUACCGUUGGUCAGGCUAUUGUCUGUACUGGCGUGUAGAAUUUCUACCUUCUGGGGAACUAUCAUGUUAUUAAUUUAGCGUGGUAGGAAACCAGGACCUUUACCUUGAAAAAAUUAGAGUGUUCAAAGCAGGCUUAUGUCUGAAUACAUUAGCAUGGAAU
rnacentral:rRNA from 1 species